GAUGUUUUGCUUUCUGAUUUUCUAUGUUUAGUGACCCAAAAUCCUGUAAUCUGACUUCUUUUAAUCAUGCAGCCAGCAGCUUCUAAAAGAGUUUUGCACAAGUAAUAGAAUUUGGCAGAACCAAUGGAAAUCGUGACAAUUGCAGUUAGUUUGAUGCAAUCAUGUGUAGCAAGUCGUCGUCUCAAAGCAAGCGGUCCAGGAAAGUGCUGUCAAGGAUCCUAUCCUUUAGUACCUAAGAAUGAGAAGUCUCAAGUCGUCUGAAAAGAAUCGGAUCAUAUGGCCUGAUAAUUUCCACAGUUUCUUUCCACUAAUUCCUAUUUCAUGAGACAUAGACUUGUCUACUGCAUAUAUCACUUGAAUUAGCUUUUUUCCUUUCUUUGUCGAUCAGUAUUUUUACGCAGUAUACAUUCUCUCCCAUUUUAUACGACACCCCGUCUACUGAGCAUUUUUGUGUCUCUUUUUAAAAAUAAGUGAUUCAUAGUUUCAUACCAGGCCCGUGCCUCUUAUUAAUAAAGACUUGUCACUUUUGCUUAUCUUAUAUUAUGUUUUUGUUAUUCUUUCUCUACAUCUUGGUCAUAUUCUUUGGAAUUAUUUCUUAUGGAUUCCUCCUUUAAGCAAAUCCCUUUUAGUAGAGCCAGCUCGUGUCCUCAUUACUCUUAGGUACAUUUAUGUUAAAGGCUAAUUUUCAACCUAAACGACUCUAUGCUUUCAUUGAUCCCUGGCUCUUGAUUGAUUUAUACAGGAUUGUGUUUGGGAACACACAAUUCCUUUCAAAUGAUGGGUUUUCAGUAACAUCAGUUGAAUUGUCAUCUUAAAUUCUUUAACUUUGACAUGCUUAUAUAUGAAUGCCUUGGAAUUGAACUAAAUCCAACUUCUUUUUGUUAUACACAACUGUCAUUUGUACCAAAUCCAGAAUUUGAACUGAACUCCAAGUUCCCAAACAAGCAAGAUAACGUAUCAGUAGUUAUAAAGGAAUAUUACUAGCGCUCGGGGUACCUGCUUCAUAGUCUGUCUAAUUGUUUGCGGAGUUUUUGGGAACACUUAUGUAAUACACAAACACACAUAUGUAUAGGCAACAAUGUACAUAUAUUUUUAAUCACAUGUUGCUUGUAACGAAUGGAUUAUUACCAGUCUGUAUUCUGUAAUAGUUUUUUUUCAUACUUGUUCAUAUUUUCUGGGUGACUGUUAUAUGUAUUGGUAUGAAGUGCUAAUUAGAUCAAAAGGCUAUGAGAUAGUGCAUGCAACAUUGGAUUAAAGAAAAACCUUAUUGUAGUACAUUUUACAUCUAAUUUUCUUUGUUGAACAGGGUGUGCAGGCCUGCAGUUUCGGCAUGCAGAAUGGAAAUUGCAAAUCCAGUCAAUACUUGCAAGUUUGAUCAUCCAGCGGCUGCUUCAGAUACCAUACACCAUCUUCACCUUCAAUGACAUAGCUAAAUGCUCAUGUGUUUUAGGUGUACUAGGGUGUAAACUGGAUCCUCAUUAAACUUAGCUUACAUUAUUGGAAUUUGGAAACACAGCAAGAUGAUACAGCUUUUACAUAUUGAAUGUCCAGCUCUACCGUCAAACUAUCUGGUCUUGAACAUUGAGUGGCAGCAGAAGGAAAUUUCGACAUCAAGCUACAACUGUACAAAGUGCUGCUAAAUAUAUUACAGAGUUAAGGUCUUGUAUUUUAAUGCAAUCUCCUGUCUUCCUUCCGUUGGGCGGUGCAUUUAUAUUGUAUAUAUUUUCUCCAGCUUCAUAUAACAUUUUUUUUAUUGAGCAUGUUUCUA